rnacentral:rRNA from 1 species
UACGUAGGGGGCUAGCGUUGUCCGGAAUCAUUGGGCGUAAAGGGCGCGUAGGUGGUUCUGUAUGUCUACCGUGAAAGCGUACGGCUCAACCGUAUUUUGUCGGUGGAAACUGCAGGACUUGAGGCUGGGAGGGGCUGGUGGAAUUCCCUGUGUAGCGGUGAAAUGCGUAGAGAUGGGGGAGAACACUCGUGGCGAAGGCGGCCAGCUAGACCAGUUCUGACACUGAGGCGCGACAGCGUGGGGAGCAAACAGG